AUUGAACGCUGGCGGCAUGCUUUACACAUGCAAGUCGAACGGUAACAGGUUAAGCUGACGAGUGGCGAACGGGUGAGUAAUGCAUCGGAACGUGCCCGGUCGUGGGGGAUAACGCAGCGAAAGCUGCGCUAAUACCGCAUACGAUCUAAGGAUGAAAGCGGGGGACCGUAAGGCCUCGCGCGAUCGGAGCGGCCGAUGUCAGAUUAGGUAGUUGGUGGGGCAAAGGCUCACCAAGCCAACGAUCUGUAGCUGGUCUGAGAGGACGACCAGCCACGCUGGGACUGAGAAACGGCCCAGACUCCUACGGGAGGCAGCAGUGGAGAAUUUUGGACAAUGGGCGAAAGCCUGAUCGAGCAAUGCCGCGUGCAGGAAGAAUGCCAUCGUGUUGUAAACUGCUUUUGUACGGAGCGAAAAGGUCUCCUCUAAUACAGGGGGCUCAUGACGGUACCGUAAGAAUAAGCACCGGCUAACUACGUGCCAGCCGCCGCCGUAA
rnacentral:rRNA from 1 species